rnacentral:rRNA from 1 species
GACGAACGCUGGCGGCGCGCUUAACACAUGCAAGUCGAGCGAGAACCGGGGCUUCGGCCCCGGGGACAGCGGCGAACGGGUGAGUAACACGUGAGUAACCUGCCCUCAGCACCGGAAUAGCCCGGGGAAACCCGGAUUAAUGCCGGAUGGCCCCUCUGCCCUGCGGGGCGGCGGGAAAAGGUAGCUUCGGCCUCCGGCCGAGGAUGGGCUCGCGGCGGAUUAGCUUGGUGGCGGGGUAACGGCCCACCAAGGCGACGAUCCGUAGCUGGUCUGAGAGGACGAUCAGCCACACUGGGACUGAGACACGGCCCAGACUCCUACGGGAGGCAGCAGUGGGGAAUCUUGCGCAAUGGGCGAAAGCCUGACGCAGCGACGCCGCGUGCGGGAAGAAGGCCCUCGGGUUGUAAACCGCUUUCAGGAGGGACGAAGCCACUCGGGUGAACAGCCCAGAGGGUGACGGUACCUCCAGAAGAAGCCCCGGCUAACUACGUGCCAGCCGCCGCAGUAAUAC